rnacentral:rRNA from 1 species
UACGUAGGGUGCAAGCGUUGUCCGGAAUUAUUGGGCGUAAAGAGCUCGUAGGCGGUCUGUCACGUCGGCUGUGAAAACCUGGGGCUCAACUCCGGGCCUGCAGCCGAUACGGGCAGACUAGAGUUCGGCAGGGGAGACUGGAAUUCCGUGGUGUAGCGGUGAAAUGCGCAGAUAUCAGGAGGAACACCGGUGGCGAAGGCGGGUCUCUGGGCCGAAACUGACGCUGAGGAGCGAAAGCGUGGGGAGCAAACAGG